UAUAAGGUUUAUAGGCACAAGGGCCCAAAUGAUACAUUCUGUUACAUGCUAAGGGGUAUAUGAAAAACGUAGACCAGGAAAUACAAAGAAAGCUUGCCUAAAGAGGGCAGCAUUCCUCCAGACCGAGUUGCCUCGGAAAUUCUAUCCCAAGUCUACAAGAGGUGCACAGGUGGAGAGAUGAGAAUGGUGGGUGUGCACAUGCCCCCAAAAGGGCCAGCAACAACCACACCAAGUUCAUUCAAUAAUGAUCCUUCCGCAGGUUCACCUACGGAAA
rnacentral:misc_RNA from 1 species